rnacentral:rRNA from 1 species
UUGAAUAGUCAUACCACCCUGCAGCCCAAGACUGGAACUCUCUAAAGCUAGGCAGGGCUGAGCCUGGUCAGUACCUGGAUGGGAGACCACAUGGGAAAACUAGGUUGCUGUUGGAA